UACGAGAGGCGCAAACGUUAUGCGGAAUUACGGGGCUUAAAGAGUUCGUAGGCGGCGCAGAAAGUAGGGUGUGAAAGCCCUCGGCUUAACCGAGGAAUUGCGCUCUAAACUACUGUGCUUGAGGGACCUAGAGGUGAGCGGAACUGAUGGUGGAGCGGUGAAAUGCGUUGAUAUCAUCAGGAACACCGGAGGCGAAGGCGGCUCACUGGGGGUCUUCUGACGCUGAGGAACGAAAGCCAGGGGAGCGAACGGG
rnacentral:rRNA from 1 species